AGUGAACGCUGGCGGCGUGCCUAAUACAUGCAAGUCGAACGGAGAUUAAGUAGCUUGCUAUUUAAUCUUAGUGGCGCACGGGUGAGUAAUAUAUAGCUAACUUGCCCAUUACUAAGGGACAACAGUUGGAAACGACUGCUAAUACCUUAUACUCCGUAUCUAUAUAAGUAGAUACGGGAAAGUUUUUCGGUAAUGGAUAGGGCUAUAUCGUAUCAGCUAGUUGGUAAGGUAAUGGCUUCCAAGGCUAUGACGCGUAACUGGUCUGAGAGGAUGAUCAGUCACACUGGAACUGAGACACGGUCCAGACUCCUACGGGAGGCAGCAGUAGGGAAUAUUGCUCAAUGGGGGAAACCCUGAAGCAGCAACGCCGCGUGGAGGAUGACACUUUUCGGAGCGUAAACUCCUUUUCUUGGGAAAGAAUUAUGACGGUACCCAAGGAAUAAGCACCGGCUAACUCCGU
rnacentral:rRNA from 1 species